rnacentral:rRNA from 1 species
GAAUUCGCCCUUAGAGUUUGAUUCUGGCUCAGGACGAACGCUGGCGGCGUGCCUAACACAUGCAAGUCGAACGGAGCCAAUUGAAUGAAGCCUUCGGGUGAAUUUCGAGAAAGCUUAGUGGCGGACGGGUGAGUAACGCGUGAGGAACCUGCCUUUCAGAGGGGGACAACAGUUGGAAACGACUGCUAAUACCGCAUAACGCACAGAGAUCGCAUGAUCAUUGUGCCAAAGGAGCAAUCCGCUGAAAGAUGGCCUCGCGUCUGAUUAGAUAGUUGGUGGGGUAACGGCCUACCAAGUCGACGAUCAGUAGCCGGACUGAGAGGAUGUCCGGCCACACUGGAACUGAGACACGGUCCAGACACCUACGGGUGGCAGCAGUCGAGAAUCAUUCACAAUGGGCGAAAGCCUGAUGGUGCGACGCCGCGUGGGGGAGGAAGGUCUUCGGAUUGUAAACCCCUGUCAUGUGGGAGCAAGACAUUUGUUUGAUAGUACCACAAGAGGAAGAGACGGCAAACUCUGUGCCAGCAGCCGCGGUAAUACAGAGGUCUCAAGCGUUGUUCGGAAUCACUGGGCGUAAAGGGUACGUAGGCGGCAUCAUAAGUCGUGCGUGAAAGGCAGGGGCUCAACCUCUGGGGUGCGCGUGAUACUGUGAUGCUGGAGUAAUGGAGGGGGAACCGGAAUUCUUGGUGUAGCAGUGAAAUGCGUAGAUAUCAAGAAGAAGACUCGUGGCGAAGGCGGGUUCCUGGACAUUUACUGACGCUGAGGUACGAAGGCCAGGGUAGCGAAAGGGAUUAGAUACCCCUGUAGUCCUGGCAGUAAACGGUGCACGUUUGGUGUGCGGAGAUUCGACCCUCUGCGUGCCGGAGUUAACACGUUAAACGUGCCGCCUGGGGAGUACGGUCGCAAGAUUAAAACUCAAAGAAAUUGACGGGGACCCGCACAAGCGGUGGAGCAUGUGGCUUAAUUCGAUGCAACGCGAAGAACCUUACCAAGGCUUGACAUCCCGUGACCGUCUGUGAAAGCAGAUUUUCUAUUCGUAGACACGGAGACAGGUGGUGCAUGGUUGUCGUCAGCUCGUGUCGUGAGAUGUUGGGUUAAGUCCCGCAACGAGCGCAACCCCUAUUGUUAGUUGCUACGCAAGAGCACUCUAGCGAGACUGCCGUUGACAAAACGGAGGAAGGCGGGGACGACGUCAAAUCAUCAUGCCCCUUAUGUCCUGGGCUACACACGUAAUACAAUGGCCGUCAACAAAGGGAAGCAAAACCGCGAGGUGGAGCAAAUCCCCAAAAACGGUCUCAGUUCGGAUUGCAGGCUGCAACUCGCCUGCAUGAAGCUGGAAUCGCUAGUAAUCGCGAAUCAGAAUGUCGCGGUGAAUACGUUCCCGGGUCUUGCACUCACCGCCC